rnacentral:rRNA from 1 species
CAGUAGCCGCGGUAAUACGUAGGGUGCAAGCGUUGUCCGGAAUUAUUGGGCGUAAAGCGUGCGCAGGCGGUUCGCUAAGACAGAUGUGAAAUCCCCGGGCUUAACCUGGGAACUGCAUUUGUGACUGGCGGGCUAGAGUAUGGCAGAGGGGGGUAGAAUUCCACGUGUAGCAGUGAAAUGCGUAGAGAUGUGGAGGAAUACCGAUGGCGAAGGCAGCCCCCUGGGCCAAUACUGACGCUCAUGCACGAAAGCGUGGGGAGCAAACAGGAUUAGAUACCCGAGUAGUCCCUGUCUCUUAUAC